rnacentral:rRNA from 1 species
UACGAAGGGUGCAAGCGUUACUCGGAAUUACUGGGCGUAAAGCGUGCGUAGGUGGUUUGUUAAGUCUGAUGUGAAAGCCCUGGGCUCAACCUGGGAACGGCAUUGGAAACUGGCUUACUAGAGUGCGGUAGAGGGGUGUGGAAUUCCCGGUGUAGCAGCGAAAUGCGUAGAUAUCGGGAGGAACAUCUGUGGCGAAGGCGACACCCUGGACCAGCACUGACACUGAGGCACGAAAGCGUGGGGAGCAAACAGG